rnacentral:rRNA from 1 species
AACGAACGCUGGCGGCAGGCCUAACACAUGCAAGUCGAGCGGACCUUUCGGGGUCAGCGGCGGACGGGUGAGUAACGCGUGGGAAUAUGCCCUUCUCUACGGAAUAGUCCUGGGAAACUGGGGGUAAUACCGUAUACGCCCUUUGGGGGAAAGAUUUAUCGGGGAAGGAUUAGCCCGCGUUGGAUUAGGUAGUUGGUGGGGUAAUGGCCUACCAAGCCGACGAUCCAUAGCUGGUUUGAGAGGAUGAUCAGCCACACUGGGACUGAGACACGGCCCAGACUCCUACGGGAGGCAGCAGUGGGGAAUCUUAGACAAUGGGGGCAACCCUGAUCUAGCCAUGCCGCGUGAGUGAUGAAGGCCUUAGGGUUGUAAAGCUCUUUCAGCCGGGAAGAUAAUGACGGUACCAGCAGAAGAAGCCCCGGCUAACUCCGUG